GACGAACGCUGGCGGCGUGCCUAACACAUGCAAGUCGAACGGAGAAGUUCAGCAAUGGAUUUCUUAGUGGCGAACGGGUGAGUAACGCGUAGACAACCUGCCUCUAAGCUGGGGACAACAACUCGAAAGGGUUGCUAAUACCGAAUGUGAACAGUGCCUCGCAUGAGAUGCUGUUUGAAGGUGGCCUCUGAAUAUGCUACCGCUUAGAGAUGGGUCUGCGCCUGAUUAGCUAGUUGGAGGGGUAAUGGCCCACCAAGGCGACGAUCAGUAGCCGGUCUGAGAGGAUGGACGGCCACACUGGGACUGAGACACGGCCCAGGCUCCUACGGGAGGCAGCAGUGGGGAAUCUUCCGCAAUGGACGAAAGUCUGACGGAGUAACGCCGCGUGAGUGAAGAAGGCCCUCGGGUCGUAAAGCUCUGUCUUCAGGGACGAAUGUGCAGAUUGUGAAUAAUGGUUUGUAAUGACGGUACCUGAGGAGGAAGCCACGGCUAACUACGUGCCAGCAGCAGCCGCCG
rnacentral:rRNA from 1 species